AACCCCUCAAUGGUGGAAGUAUUGUGCCCGGGGUGUUUAUGCUAGGUUUUAGCCCCGGGUUUUAUCUUUUGGUUCCAAGGAGAGCCCAACGGGUUCCCAGAGUUUGGGGAGCGCCUCACCAUCAAGCAUAGAGAUACCCCAAGCACAAUACCUCCACCGUUGAAGGGUUC
rnacentral:pre_miRNA from 1 species